AAAGGUGAAACCUAAUUGGCCUGGAGAAGAGCUUGCGUCUGAUUAGCUAGUUGGUGGGGUAAAGGCCUACCAAGGCGACGAUCAGUAGCUGGUCUGAGAGGAUGAGCAGCCACACUGGGACUGAGACACGGCCCAGACUCCUACGGGAGGCAGCAGUGGGGAAUUUUCCGCAAUGGGCGAAAGCCUGACGGAGCAACGCCGCGUGAGGGAGGAAGGUCUUUGGAUUGUAAACCUCUUUUCUCAAGGAAGAAGUUCUGACGGUACUCGAGGAAUCAGCCUCGGCUAACUCCGUGCCAGCAGCCGCGGUAAUACGGGGGAGGCAAGCGUUAUCCGGAAUUAUUGGGCGUAAAGCGUCCGCAGGUGGUCAGCCAAGUCUGCC
rnacentral:rRNA from 1 species